rnacentral:rRNA from 1 species
GAUGAACGCUGGCGGCGUGCCUAAUACAUGCAAGUCGAGCGAACAGACGAGGAGCUUGCUCCUCUGACGUUAGCGGCGGACGGGUGAGUAACACGUGGAUAACCUACUUAUAAGACUGGGAUAACUUCGGGAAACCGGAGCUAAUACCGGAUAAUAUAUUGAACCGCAUGGUUCAAUAGUGAAAGUCGGUUUUGCUGUCACUUAUAGAUGGAUCCGCGCCGCAUUAGCUAGUUGGUAAGGUAACGGCUUACCAAGGCGACGAUGCGUAGCCGACCUGAGAGGGUGAUCGGCCACACUGGAACUGAGACACGGUCCAGACUCCUACGGGAGGCAGCAGUAGGGAAUCUUCCGCAAUGGGCGAAAGCCUGACGGAGCAACGCCGCGUGAGUGAUGAAGGUCUUCGGAUCGUAAAACUCUGUUAUUAGGGAAGAACAAAUGUGUAAGUAACUAUGCACGUCUUGACGGUACCUAAUCAGAAAGCCACGGCUAACUACGUG